AAUGGUUUGGCAGUGAGCGAUUCUUAUUAGGGGAAUAUGCAUAGUGAAGGAUGGUCCACCUAUUAGUUUACUCUUUUUAUGUUGGUGUAUGUCUGGUUUGAUAUUAUUGUUGAAUAAUUUAAGUUUGUGUAGUUUUAGUUAAGCUAAGUCUAUGUGCUGCUUAUGGGAGUUUUUGUGUGUUACAUUAAUAAGGGUGUUAUUGUAAGAUGAUGUGAUUUAG
rnacentral:rRNA from 1 species